rnacentral:lncRNA from 1 species
ACCUACAGUCUACAGAGAGAGGCUCUGUCUCAAAAGCAAAUCAAAAACAUCCAGUUCAUAAAACCAUUCUUAAAUGCAAAUUCUCUCUUUUCCAUUAGAGGUGGUAAUAACCUGGCAUGGUGUUAUUAAAAACUAAGGUUUGCCAUUAUUAUUAUGAUCAUUAUUAUCAUUAUCAUUGCCUUUUAUUUUUGUUGAAAUUUUAGCUCUUGGUAUCCUUUCAUUAUAAACAAAAUCAGAAUAUAUAAAUAAAUAUAAUAUAAUAUAAUACAUAAAUCUGAUAAUAUGUAUCAAUAUAGAGUUGAUCAUAACAUUUUAAAAUUGAUUUCAUUACAUUUUUAUCCACUUUGUGUUUAUAUUUAUAUGUGGGAGCAUGGUUUUGAGGGUAGAGGUCAGGGGAGAACUUUUAGGAGUUUGCUCCUUAUCUGUGUAGGAUGCUUGGAAUCACACUUGUGUAGUCAGACUUGGUGACUGGUGCCAGUAAUUACAUUUUAAAGAUAUUAUUUACAUUUUCUGUCACUUAUUUUUUUUUUCUUUAAUCCUGUAGAAGCAGCACCUUCUCUCUGGGAGAUAGAAUUUGCUAAGCAAUUAGCCACAGUAAGCGAACAGCCGUUUGGGAAUGGGUUUGAGGAGAUGAUACAGUGGACAAAGGAGGGGAAACUGUGGGAGUUCCCAGUUAACAAUGAAGCAGGUCUUGACGAUGAUGGCUCAGAGUUCCAUGAGCAUAUAUUUUUGGAGAAGCACCUGGAGGAUUUCCCCAAGCAAGGACCAAUUCGCCUGUUCAUGGAGCUGGUGACCUGUGGCCUCUCGAAAAACCCAUAUCUGAGCGUUAGACAGAAGGUCGAGCAUAUAGAGUGGUUCAGAAAUUAUUUUAAUGAAAAAAGAGAUAUUCUCAAAGAAAAUAACAUUCACUUAACAUCAUGAGGAAAAAUUUUUAUUUAAACUGUUGAAAAUGUAUAUUAUAGCUAAGUAAAAAUUUUAUC